rnacentral:miRNA from 1 species
UGUGUGUUCGAGUGAAUGAGU